GACGUAGGGGGCCAGCGUUGUUCGGAAUUACUGGGUGUAAAGGGUUCGUAGGCGGUGUGGCAAGUUGGGAGUGAAAUCUCUGGGCUCAACCCAGAGGCUGCUUCCAAAACUGCUGUGCUUGAGUGUGAGAGAGGCUCGUGGAAUUGCAGGUGUAGCGGUGAAAUGCGUAGAUAUCUGCAGGAACACCCGUGGCGAAAGCGGCGAGCUGGAUCACUACUGACGCUGAGGAACGAAAGCUAGGGGAGCAAACGGG
rnacentral:rRNA from 1 species